rnacentral:tRNA from 1 species
CACUAAGAAGCUUAUAUAGCACUAGCCUUUUAAGCUAGAGACGGAACAGCCACUUCCCUUGGUGA